rnacentral:misc_RNA from 1 species
GUUUUGAGUGAUCCCCAGAAGAGAGCAAUCUACGAUCAAUAUGGUGAAGAAGGUUUGAAAGGUCAGGUACCUCCUCCGGGCGCCGGAGGUCCAGGUGGUGCAUCCUUCUUCCAAACUGGGGAUGGACCAACGAUGUUCAGAUUCAACCCUAGAAAUGCCAAUGACAUUUUUGCAGAGUUCUUUGGAUUUUCGACCCCAUUUGGAGGAAUGGGCGGCGGCGGCGGCGGCAGUGGCAUGGGCAUGAGGGGCGGUUCCAGGCCAUUUGGUGGUGGCAUGUUUGGGGAUGAUAUGUUCGCUUCAUUCGGUGAAGGCCAGCCGAUGAGCCAAGGUCCACGAAAAGCUGCUCCAAUCGAAAGGAGAUUGCCCUGUAGCCUUGAAGAUCUCUACAAAGGCACCACAAAGAAGAUGAAAAUCUCCAGAGAAAUAGCUGAUGCUAGUGGGAAGACAUUGCCGGUGGAAGAGAUUCUAACAAUAGAAAUCAAGCCAGGUUGGAAAAAGGGAACAAAAAUAACAUUCCCAGAGAAAGGAAAUGAGCAACCAAACGUGAUACCAGCAGACCUUGUUUUCAUUAUAGAUGAAAAGCCACACAGCACAUUCACAAGGGAUGGAAAUGACUUAGUCGUAACAAGGAAAAUCUCUCUUGCCGAAGCUCUAACAGGUUACACAGCCCAUGUGACAACGCUAGAUGGAAGGAGCCUGACCAUCCCCAUUAACAAUGUCAUUCAUCCAGACUAUGUGGAGGUCGUACCAAAGGAGGGCAUGC